rnacentral:rRNA from 1 species
UACGGAGGGUGCAAGCGUUAUCCGGAUUCACUGGGUUUAAAGGGUGUGUAGGCGGGCAGUUAAGUCAGUGGUGAAAUCUCCAGGCUCAACCUGGAAACUGCCAUUGAUACUAUCUGUCUUGAAUUCUGUUGAGGUGGGCGGAAUACAUCAUGUAGCGGUGAAAUGCUUAGAUAUGAUGUAGAACACCGAUUGCGAAGGCAGCUCACUAAGCAGCGAUUGACGCUGAGGCACGAAAGCGUGGGGAGCGAACAGG